UUUUACAUGUUAGACUGAUGUAAGAUAAAAUGAGUAUCUUAAGUCUGAACGAUAAGUUCACAAUUCCAAAAAGUACAGAAAGUACAAGAAAUUGGAAUCUGAAUAGCUACUAUAGAUUUUAAAAAUAUUUCCAAAAAAAUAGAAGAAAAAAACAAGCAUCUCAUGUGCCAUCCUGACAUGAAAUAUGGGCAAUAUGGCAAGAGUCACAUUCUGAGAUGAAUUAUUCUGUUGGAUUCCGGGGUUGUUGGGGUUUUUGUUUCUGGGUUCUGGUUAGGCUAGUCACUAACUUUCCACCAGAGAGCGCCAGAGACUGUUUUUCCCGGCGGAGGCGUGAUCGCCAGCACACCUGUUCAACAUCUCCUCAUUAUGUCUGGAGUUCAAGAGGAGCUGACUGACGGGGCUUCGACGCCUGAGUGUUUGCCAGCAAUGGUGUCUUCCUUGAGACGCUGAGUUCCUUUGUGAAAGGAACUGGUUCUUCCGGGUUUUUCUGGAACCAAUUCCCUCGUGACGCCGUGGAGGAAUAUCCGCUGGUUGCCCAAGCCCGUGUCUUCCCUUUGAGACGCCGAACGUCAGUCAGAACUCUCCUCAGUCUCCAGCCCGCCUGAGCCCAUCGGUCCGCCUCUCCCCGCCGCCACUGUUGCUCCUGGAUCCAACCAAUCCCGAAUAGCUCGGACCCGUUCAGAAGACCUCUUGGACUGAAUCCCCUCGAUCCACACAGUUAGCCCUCCCGGACUUCCACCAUCAACUUCACAAUUUGCCGCAUUCCCCGAAAACUGCAGUUCCUGGAGCAAUAACCCUCAGCAGAUUUCCUGAACAUUCAAUAAACCAUUUUUACUGAUUAUCUGUUUCCCUGUGGUGUUCUGCAUGUGGGCAAGAAAAGUAGACCCAAACAUGACAGAACACUCAGGCCAAAAUCCUAGUCCAGCAGACACCAUUAGGAAAACUCUUGCAGAGCAACAUUCACUGUUACAAUCCCAUGAAUCAGCCCUCCAGGAACUUAAUACCCGUCAGAUCGAGACCAAUCGACGGUUGAAUGAAUUAAUGACUUUCUUGCAAAACUCUGCUUCACAGUCUCCAGCACCCGAACCUACCCCG